UGCCAGCAGCCGCGGUAAUACAGAGGGUGCGAGCGUUAAUCGGAAUCACUGGGCGUAAAGGGCGCGUAGGCGGCCAAGUAAGUCGGAUGUGAAAGCCCUGGGCUUAACCUAGGAACUGCAUUCGAUACUGCUUGGCUAGAGUAUGGUAGAGGGAAGUGGAAUUUCGGGUGUAGCGGUGAAAUGCGUAGAGAUCCGGAGGAACACCAGUGGCGAAGGCGGCUUCCUGGACUGAUAUUGACGCUGAGGUGCGAAAGUGUGGGUAGCAAACAGGAUUAGAUA
rnacentral:rRNA from 1 species